rnacentral:rRNA from 1 species
AGCGUACACGGUGGAUGCCCUGGCAGUCAGAGGCGAUGAAGGACGUGCUAAUCUGCGAUAAGCGUCGGUGAGGUGAUAUGAACCGUUAUAACCGGCGAUUUCCGAAUGGGGAAACCCAGUGUGUUUCGACACACUAUCAUUAACUGAAUCCAUAGGUUAAUGAGGCGAACCGGGGGAACUGAAACAUCUAAGUACCCCGAGGAAAAGAAAUCAACCGAGAUUCCCCCAGUAGCGGCGAGCGAACGGGGAGGAGCCCAGAGCCUGAAUCAGUGUGUGUGUUAGUGGAAGCGUCUGGAAAGGCGCGCGAUACAGGGUGACAGCCCCGUACACAAAAAUGCACAUAUUGUGAGCUCGAUGAGUAGGGCGGGACACGUGGUAUCCUGUCUGAAUAUGGGGGGACCAUCCUCCAAGGCUAAAUACUCCUGACUGACCGAUAGUGAACCAGUACCGUGAGGGAAAGGCGAAAAGAACCCCGGCGAGGGGAGUGAAAAAGAACCUGAAACCGUGUACGUACAAGCAGUGGGAGCCUCUUAAUGGGGUGACUGCGUACCUUUUGUAUAAUGGGUCAGCGACUUAUAUUCUGUAGCAAGGUUAACCGAAUAGGGGAGCCGAAGGGAAACCGAGUCUUAACUGGGCGUUAAGUUGCAGGGUAUAGACCCGAAACCCGGUGAUCUAGCCAUGGGCAGGUUGAAGGUUGGGUAACACUAACUGGAGGACCGAACCGACUAAUGUUGAAAAAUUAGCGGAUGACUUGUGGCUGGGGGUGAAAGGCCAAUCAAACCGGGAGAUAGCUGGUUCUCCCCGAAAGCUAUUUAGGUAGCGCCUCGUGAAUUCAUCUCCGGGGGUAGAGCACUGUUUCGGCAAGGGGGUCAUCCCGACUUACCAACCCGAUGCAAACUGCGAAUACCGGAGAAUGUUAUCACGGGAGACACACGGCGGGUGCUAACGUCCGUCGUGAAGAGGGAAACAACCCAGACCGCCAGCUAAGGUCCCAAAGUCAUGGUUAAGUGGGAAACGAUGUGGGAAGGCCCAGACAGCCAGGAUGUUGGCUUAGAAGCAGCCAUCAUUUAAAGAAAGCGUAAUAGCUCACUGGUCGAGUCGGCCUGCGCGGAAGAUGUAACGGGGCUAAACCAUGCACCGAAGCUGCGGCAGCGACACUAUGUGUUGUUGGGUAGGGGAGCGUUCUGUAAGCCUGUGAAGGUGGCCUGUGAGGGUUGCUGGAGGUAUCAGAAGUGCGAAUGCUGACAUAAGUAACGAUAAAGCGGGUGAAAAGCCCGCUCGCCGGAAGACCAAGGGUUCCUGUCCAACGUUAAUCGGGGCAGGGUGAGUCGACCCCUAAGGCGAGGCCGAAAGGCGUAGUCGAUGGGAAACAGGUUAAUAUUCCUGUACUUGGUGUUACUGCGAAGGGGGGACGGAGAAGGCUAUGUUGGCCGGGCGACGGUUGUCCCGGUUUAAGCGUGUAGGCUGGUUUUCCAGGCAAAUCCGGAAAAUCAAGGCUGAGGCGUGAUGACGAGGCACUACGGUGCUGAAGCGACAAAUGCCCUGCUUCCAGGAAAAGCCUCUAAGCAUCAGGUAACAUCAAAUCGUACCCCAAACCGACACAGGUGGUCAGGUAGAGAAUACCAAGGCGCUUGAGAGAACUCGGGUGAAGGAACUAGGCAAAAUGGUGCCGUAACUUCGGGAGAAGGCACGCUGAUAUGUAGGUGAAGCGACUUGCUCGUGGAGCUGAAAUCAGUCGAAGAUACCAGCUGGCUGCAACUGUUUAUUAAAAACACAGCACUGUGCAAACACGAAAGUGGACGUAUACGGUGUGACGCCUGCCCGGUGCCGGAAGGUUAAUUGAUGGGGUUAGCGGUAACGCGAAGCUCUUGAUCGAAGCCCCGGUAAACGGCGGCCGUAACUAUAACGGUCCUAAGGUAGCGAAAUUCCUUGUCGGGUAAGUUCCGACCUGCACGAAUGGCGUAAUGAUGGCCAGGCUGUCUCCACCCGAGACUCAGUGAAAUUGAACUCGCUGUGAAGAUGCAGUGUACCCGCGGCAAGACGGAAAGACCCCGUGAACCUUUACUAUAGCUUGACACUGAACAUUGAGCCUUGAUGUGUAGGAUAGGUGGGAGGCUUUGAAGUGUGGACGCCAGUCUGCAUGGAGCCGACCUUGAAAUACCACCCUUUAAUGUUUGAUGUUCUAACGUGGGCCCCUUACCGGGGUUGCGGACAGUGUCUGGUGGGUAGUUUGACUGGGGCGGUCUCCUCCUAAAGAGUAACGGAGGAGCACGAAGGUUGGCUAAUCCUGGUCGGACAUCAGGAGGUUAGUGCAAUGGCAUAAGCCAGCUUGACUGCGAGCGUGACGGCGCGAGCAGGUGCGAAAGCAGGUCAUAGUGAUCCGGUGGUUCUGAAUGGAAGGGCCAUCGCUCAACGGAUAAAAGGUACUCCGGGGAUAACAGGCUGAUACCGCCCAAGAGUUCAUAUCGACGGCGGUGUUUGGCACCUCGAUGUCGGCUCAUCACAUCCUGGGGCUGAAGUAGGUCCCAAGG